GACGAACGCUGGCGGCGUGCUUAACACAUGCAAGUCGAGCGGUAAGGCCCUUUCGGGGGUACACGAGCGGCGAACGGGUGAGUAACACGUGGGUGACCUGCCUUUGGAUGGGGAAUAACAACCGGAAACGGUUGCUAAUACCGCAUAAUGCAGCGGCACCUAAUGGUGACAGUUGUUAAAGCGGGGGAUCGAAAGACCUCGCGUCUGAAGAGGAGCCUGCGGCGGAUUAGCUAGUUGGUAAGGUAACGGCUACCAAGGCGACGAUCCGUAGCCGGCCUGAGAGGGCGGUCGGCCACACUGACACUGACAUACGGGUCAGACUCCUACGGGAGGCAGCAGUCGGGAAUUUUGGGCAAUGGGCGAAAGCCUGACCCAGCAACGCCGCGUGAAGGAUGAAAUCCCUCGGGAUGUAAACUUCGCAAGAACGGGAAGAAUAAGUAGGGGACAAUACCCCCUAUCGAUGACGGUACCGUUUGUAGGCUCCGGCUAACUCCGU
rnacentral:rRNA from 1 species